GACGAACGCUGGCGGCGUGCUUAACACAUGCAAGUCGAACGGAAAGGCCCUGCUUUUGUGGGGUGCUCGAGUGGCGAACGGGUGAGUAACACGUGAGUAACCUGCCCUUGACUUUGGGAUAACUUCAGGAAACUGGGGCUAAUACCGGAUAGGAGCUCCUGCUGCAUGGUGGGGGUUGGAAAGUUUCGGCGGUUGGGGAUGGACUCGCGGCUUAUCAGCUUGUUGGUGGGGUAGUGGCUUACCAAGGCUUUGACGGGUAGCCGGCCUGAGAGGGUGACCGGCCACAUUGGGACUGAGAUACGGCCCAGACUCCUACGGGAGGAAGAAGUGGGGAAUAUUGCACAAUGGGCGGAAGCCUGAUGCAGCAACGCCGCGUGCGGGAUGACGGCCUUCGGGUUGUAAACCGCUUUCGCCUGUGACGAAGCGUGAGUGACGGUAAUGGGGAAAGAAGCACCGGCUAACUACGU
rnacentral:rRNA from 1 species